CAAACAUGCAAGUCUAGGGGGUGUAGCAAUACAUCACCGGCGGACGGGUGCGUAACACGUGGGAAUAUACCUUUUGGUUCGGAACAACGCAGGGAAACUUGCGCUAAUACCGAAUGUGCCCUUACGGGGAAAGAUUUAUCGCCAAAGGAUUAGCCCGCGUCCGAUUAGCUAGUUGGUGAGGUAAUGGCUCACCAAGGCUCCGAUCGGUAGCUGUUCUGAGAGGAAGAUCAGCCACACUGGGACUGAGACACGGCCCAGACUCCUACGGGAGGCAGCAGUUGGGAAUCUUGGACAAUGGGGGAAACCCUGAUCCAGCCAUGCCGCGUGAGUGAUGAAGGCCUUCGGGUUGUAAAACUCUUUCGACGGGGACGAUAAUGACGGUACCCGUAGAAGAAG
rnacentral:rRNA from 1 species